CUACGGGCGGCAGCAGUGAGGAAUAUUGCACAAUGGGGGGAACCCUGAUGCAGCAACGCCGCGUGGAGGAUGACGCAUUUCGGUGUGUAAACUCCUUUUAUAUGUCAAGAAAAUGACGGUAGCAUAUGAAUAAGCACCGGCUAACUCCGUGCCAGCAGCCGCGGUAAUACGGAGGGUGCAAGCGUUACUCGGAAUCACUGGGCGUAAAGGACGCGUAGUCGGGUUUGAAAGUCAGGUGUGAAAUCCUACAGCUUAACUGUAGAACUGCACUUGAAACUUCUAAUCUAGAGUAUGGGAGGGGGAGAUGGAAUUAGUGGUGUAGGGGUAAAAUCCGUAGAUAUCACUAGGAAUACCUAAAGCGAAGGCGAUCUCCUGGAACAUUACUGACGCUAAGGCGUGAAAGCGUGGGGAGCAAACAGGAUUAGAUACCCCCGUAGUC
rnacentral:rRNA from 1 species